GUUUAUGACCACAAAAGGAAGGUUGGUAUUGAUUUUGGGAGUUUUGGUCCCAACAGAAUAAGGGGCCCAAAGGGUCCAAAAUUAAACUUUGUUUGAUUUCAUCAAAAUUGAAUAAUUGGGGUUCUUUGAUAUGCCGAAUCUAACUGUCAUGACUGUGUAUGUAGAUUCUUAACUUUUGGUCCCGUUUUCAAAUUGGUCUACAUUAAGGUCCAAAGGGUCCAAAAUUAAACUUAGUUUGAUUUUGACAAAAAAUGAAUCAGUUAGGUUCUUUGAUAUGCUGAAUCUAAAAAUGUACUUAGAUUCUUGAUUAUUGGCCCAGUUUUCAAGUUGGUCCAAAUCGGGGUCCAAAAUUAAACUUUGUUUGAUUUCAUCAAAAUUUGAAUAAAUG
rnacentral:lncRNA from 1 species